GAUGGAUAGCUCAGCUGGUAGAGCAUGAGGCUUUUAAUCUUAGGGUUGUGAGUUCGAACCUCACUUUGGACA